ensembl:lncRNA
ACACUGCAUUAUCAUAAUUGUCUCUUCUACAUGAUAGGACAGAAAAAUAAUAAUGUCAUUUUAUUUAUAGCUGGGGUGGCCCCUUUAUGAGAGUCAUACAAGUUUCUGCCAAGUGGAGUAGGUCAAAUGACAUCUUUUGAUCAGGCCUGUCCAAAGAGAUCAAAGAUGAAUGGCAGGUAAUGGAUACCCAAUGACAAACCAAAUCUAAAACAGAAAUAAGGCUGCCAGAGCCUGCCAGUUACCCAUUAAAGGCCCGCCUAAGGAAGGCAGGCUGCUUGACAUGUUGGCCGAACACCUAAAUCAGCCAAGCGUCAGUGCUAAAAUUGUGUAUUAUCAUUGGAAAUGGCUAUUAUUUCCUCGGUAACAUUUCUGUUAAGGCUUUGUUUGUGUACGACUGACCCACAGUCAGAAGUGGAGUUGGAAGGAAGCAAACCCAAGGCUGAUGGGCUCCCUUGCCUUUGGCCAUGACCUGGCUUUAACUGUGGGCGCCUGGCGGGGCCCCACCCCUGCCUCUGCGCUUUGCUGGAUGGAGAUGAACUCCGUUUACAGGUGGGAAGGUGGGCUGGCCUCCUGGCCCCAUCCCUACAUGUCUCUGUAUCCCCGGCAACACUCCUUCUUCUGUCUUCCCAGCCAUCUGCAGUGGGGCCCAUCACAGGCCGCACAGCGCCCAGAACCUUCCUAGAACAUGGGGAGAGCAGAUGGGAAAAAUGGAAGACAUGGCAGCAAGAGCGGGGCCGACACAGGGCUGCUCACGCUGUCGGUACGGUUUGCACAUCUAGACAUGGGUAGCGAUGGCUUCCAAAAUUAUGGAAAUAUAUGCUAUGGUUUUUUUUUUUUUUUUUUGGUCUUUUUAGGGCUGCACCUGUGGCAUAUGGAGGUUCCCAGGCUCAGGGUCAAAUCGGAGUUGUAGCCGCCAACCUACACCGCAGCUCACGGCCACGCCGGAUCCUUAACCCACUGAGCAAGGCCAGGGAUCCAACCCGCAACCUCAUGGUUCCUAGUCAGAUUCGUUAACCACGGAGCCAGGACGGGAACUCCUAUUUUUUUUUUUUCUUCGAGCACUUGAGUUAUGGAAUUAAGUUGGCCUUUGUAGAGCUGUUAUUUAAAAGGCUUUGGUGGGAAACGGAAUUUACUCUCUUUUUUUCGUUGUUUGUUUUUCAUAUGCGGGGGUGGGGCAGGGUGGAAUACAAAGAAUUAUUCAAAGAAAUCUUUAGAAACGAGGGCUCCAGAAGCUGCAGGAGGGAACUCUAAAUCCUCCUGUCCCAAGAGAUGCACAGGUGGUGCUGUGGGUAAUUUUUUAUUCUGCAGCGUAUGCUGGAAUGUUAAAAAAUAUUAUUAAACAUUGAAAUGAGUAUACUAGUGAGCUAAUUAGUAUGUUUCUCUUUCUUUUAAUAAUCCCGAUGCAUUUUCUUUCUUUCCUACCUCCAUUUUUAUACACGCCGUAACCCUAAAGAACAUAUUUAGAAGCAUAAUUAGUUAUAAUUAGAAGCAAACAAACCUCACCCGGGGUAUCUCCAAUUUAUUACAAAGAAUUACAGGUGAUGGUGGCGGCGGCAGAAACCUCAGGUCCCCGCUGCCUGAUGAGACAUGUGGUUUUACACACGCGUGGGCACACACGUGGCCGCACAUGCACACACGCACACCUGUACCCUGUCCGGACCAAGGAGUCGCUUUUGCUGGGCUCUUCAAAGUUGCAGAGGCCUCACGUUUCUCGAUCAUUCUGCAUUAACUCUAUCCUUAAGUAAUGGGGACACUGUCAGAGUCGCAGCCUCACUCCUGGGUGAUGAGAAAAAGACAGACGUUUGACUGUGAGGCCUCUUGGCAGGAAAUUUGGUAGCGAAGUCCCAUCCAAUUUGUCAUGCUCAGCAGUGGUCUCUGCUCCGCAGGAAGCUUGCAGCCCAGCCCCGGCCAGUCACCUGUCUGGGAGACACCCCGCAACGCCAUCUGAAGUGACAGGCUGCAUAUGCAGGGCCGUCCCGGCAGCCAGGCCGCCACGCUUUCAGUCACUGGCUGUGGAGGGAGGGCCCAUGGCUCCUGUGACCGGCAGGCUGUCACCUUUGACAUUUGACCCUGUCCCUACCCCCAAAUGCCCAGACUCCCCCUUUCGUGGCUUCCACCCCAAACCUCUAUGUAAAUGAAAGUUUAAACAAAUCUGUGCUCAUGCUGGCUUUCCAGCGAGAUUUUUUUUUUUUUAAUUUCUCUUGAAUUAUGUAAAGAUGCAUCACAAGAUAUUUACGAUUUUUUUUUUAAAAACAGAUAUUCUUUUUAUAUACUGAUAAAAUUGGAAACUUGGAAGCAUAUUUGGCAAGUGUAAACAGAUGGUUAAAGAUAUUUGCUGGGAAGUAUCAGAAACAGUUAUUCCUGACUUGCCUGCUUGGCUAAACAUUGAAAAGUCAACUCACAGGGCACAAAGCAGGAGAUGGGUUCCCACUUGGCUUCUGAGCAGAGCAGGCAGGAGCACUGCUUCUCUGCUUGAUCAUCACGCUGCAGGUCACACCUCUAUGGCCAUGGAACCCUCUUCUCUUUUCAUCUACAGAAUCGGUGAGGGGUUCUUUAGCAGCUGAGCAAGAAGGCUUCUGUGUUGUCUUCUUAAUUCACGAUUCCUCUCUCAGAGGAAGCCCUGGGCAUCCUUUAUCUUUCUCCGAGUAAGGUAGGAAAUGAGCCCUUUUCCUUUGCUCUGGGGAACGCAGUCAUUUUAUUCCUAAGAGCUCCAUGCUAGGAGGUGUCCUUCCAAGGCAGUGGGAAGCAAAGUUGCAUCAAGGAACUGACCAGGAAGAAAAGAAGAAGAAACAUGCCCCCCCCCUCCUUCCAGAGAGCAGAAUUCACCACACAAAACCUUCCCAAUCACGAAAACAACAGUUCAGGUGCUUGAGCAGAAAGCAGAGAAUUUCUUGACAUGGUCCCGUGGUCCGAUGUGUGGUUUCUCUGUGUGGGGUAGGGGGGUUGAUUGGAGGUUGGGGUGGGGGAAGGAAGAAGCUGCCGUAUUUGUGACAAGCUGCUACAACACGAGGGCUCGUGGCACUUGCUAAUCUGAAAUGCUUUUAGGAGAAUUGUUCAGUAGCAAUAAUCUGUCAACAGAUUACAAUUUUGCUUAAUUUUAAUGUGGCCAACUUAAGAUGGUUGUAUAGGAAAUUUAUGCAACUGAUCACAGUUAUUAAAUUACUGCAUCUGCAAAGGAAGCAAUCAAACCCCUUAUUACAGUUGCUGUGAGUGAAUGCUAAAUGUCAAGGAGUUACCAGUGCGCUGCGGGGAAUCACGCUCCAGUUAAAGAUGCAUAAAAUAUCAGCACUUUUUUAAUGCUUGUGCAUUCAACAAAGACUCCCAUCAUAAUUAACUGGUAUGGAAAUAAAUAAUUUUUACAAACUACCUUGGAAACAGUUGUGCUACAGUUUUUGUCAAAGUCUGCUGCUCUCCAGCGAUAUGUAAGCCCUUAGACACGCUUCCCUCUAACUCACAUACGCUAUAAAAUAUUUAAAUCUCACAGAGAGGUUUGAAAAUGAUAUUAUAAAUCCAACUCUCCAUUCAUUUUUCUUUUUCUUUUUUUUUUUUUUUUUUUUGGUGAUGGUCUCAGUUGGAUAGUUCAGGGAAGGGGGCCUCUGUCGAUAAACAGCUGAAGAUGCGUGUAGGGGCUGAGCUUAAGCCCCCAAGGUGGAGGGUGCGAGUUCCAGGCACGGAGGUGGCAGCCGGACAGCUGGGUUCAGAUCCUGGCUGUGCAUGGUUAGUUCUGUCCCCUGCAGCAAGUUUAUCGAGCCCCCAUUCGAGUGGGGGUGGGGGGGAUGGGGGACGGGACACUUGACCGUUCACAGCUCCAUGAGUUUCUCGGGGGAGGCUGUGGGGGAGUGUGUGGAGGAGCCACAGUGAGCGCCUGGCCCUGGCGAGGGUUCGCUGCUACCUGGUGAUUCGUUGUGAAACCCCUUGGCUUUUGCUGGCAGGGAUCACAGCUGUCAUGGAGGGCCCUACUUCAGCCCUGUGUGUUCCCCUGUUCAGUUGAGGGCUGCAGGGCUUGAGAAAUCUGACCCAUGCAACCUUGGGACCUCAAUGGGCAUCCUGGGUUUCGCCAAGAAGGCAAGGCAGUCGGGUGGAAUGAGCUGCUUCUCCAGGGCUUAAAGGGCAGACCUCACCCCUGCGCUGAUUUGGUCCACUCAGCAACCCCAAGUAAUAGGUCAGCUGGACCCUCGGAGAGUUGAGUUAGGAACAGGAUCCCCUUGCACACCUGACUAUGGGCCACGGAUGUAAGCUGCUGGCUCCCCUGGGGUCAGCGUGCUGCUGUCCAGCCAGUCCUGUACCAUUCUCUCCAAAGGGGCUGCAACCUGGCCUUUUGUCCUUGAUUUUUUUACCCAGAGAGCUUCGAAGGUGGGACCCUGGAACUGCAGCUCGUUUGCCAGGAAUCAGAUUUUUUUAAAUUCAUUUUUAAAUGAAAGUUUAGUUGAUUUACAAUGUUGUGUGCCUUUCAGGUGUACAGCAAAGGAUUUGGUUAUAUACUAUGUAUAUUCUUUUUGCAGAUUCUUUUCCCUUAUAGGUUAUUACUAGAUAUUGAAUAGAGUCUCCUGUGCUCUGCAGUAGGUCCUUGUUGGUUAUUUAUUAUUUAUUUAUUUAUUUAUUUUUGUGGCCCUCUCCAUCGCAUGUGGACGUUUCCAAGCCAGGGAUCAAACCCACUCCACAGCAGUGGCAGUGCUGGGUCCUUAACCCCCUGAGCCACCGGGGAACUCUGGUUAUCUAUUUUAUAUACAGUAGUGUAUGUAUGUUACUUCCCCAUUCCUAAUGAGUCCUCCCUCUCUCUCCUCUUGGAUCGCCAUAAGUUUGUUUUCUAUGUCUGUGAGUUUGUGUCUGCUUUGUAAAUAAGUUCACAUGUAUCAUGUUUCUUAGAUUCCACGUAUAAGUGAUAUCACACGGUAUUUGUCUUUCUCUGUCGGACUUACUUCACUUAGCAUGAUAAUCUCUGGGUCCAUCCGUGUGGCUGCCAGUGGCAUUAUUUCCUUCUUGUUAAAAAAAAAAAUAGCAGAGCUUGUCCAUGAGGAUGACUUUCUCUUUCAUGGUGUAUUCAUUUGGUGUCAGUUUGUUUGGAGUUGUUUGUUCAGAUUUAUUUAAAGGAUAACGUUGUAGGGCAAUCAGAUUCAUGCAAAUGUCCAUUUGUGCAUACAGAGACGGAUGUGUGCAUAUGUGUUUAUGUAUAUGCAUUUGUAUGUGUGUAUAUGUUUACAUAUGUAUGUAUGUGUAAUCUACAUAAAGAAAUGAAAAUGAACCCAAGCCACGUUACUCAUCCAUCACGUCUUAUUCCAUCAAACAAGCAAUGGGGCACUCCGCAUCCACGCCCAGAUGCGGCUGUAUUAGACUAGAACCUUGGCUUCUGGAUGCUCCUGUUUUGGCUUGAGGUCUCCUCGAUUGAGAUCUCUCCUAGAGUCUGGAAGUACAAUUUGAGGAUGGAUGUGGCUGUUCUUUGCAAUUUCUUGUUUUUCAAUCCUGCACACUUUGAUGACAAAAGUGACAGGUGUAUGUAGUAUUUUCAGGUAAAAGCAAAUACUCGUGUAAAGAGGUCCAUCAGGGAAAUGUCUACACGUUUGGACAUGGGUAAGAGACAGCUUUUACUUAAUAAAACACUGGGAAUCUCCUUUUAUUUUUUGUUUCUUUUCUCCCCUCCCCUCACUUUUUUUCAGGGCCACACCUGUGACAUAUGGCCGUUCCCAGGUUAGGGGUUGAAUUGGAGUGACUGCUGCCAGCCUACACCACAGCCACAGCAAUACCGGAUCCAAGCUGCAUCUAUGACCUACACUGCCGCUCACGGCAAUGCUGGAUCCUUAACCCACUGAGCAUGGCCAGGGAUCGAACUAGCAUCCUCCUAGAGACGGCAUUGGGUCAUUAAUCCGCUGAGCCACAAGGGGAACUCCAGGAAUACAGACACUCUUAAAAAGAAUUCAUUUUGUUUUGAACACCACUUAAUACCAAUUUCUGAAAUAAACCACCAAUAUCAGACCCCCGGACUGACGGUAAAUGGGUGCGAGCACUUUGGUUUCUGCGCAUCCUCCGUGUUUCCUGUCUAGGAGGUUGGGUGAGGUGUGGAGUCUCGUGCCUUCUUCACGCCAGCAUUUUUGCUGUAGCCGGACGCUUUCCGGAGCACAGAUCACAGAGGGGUCGGCCGCAGGCCUCCAGACCCUCUGUGGCAUGUGCGCAGCAGCUCAGGGACCGGUGGGUCACCCCUCUUCGGCACUGUUUAGAAGGGUGGCCUUCCCAGAACCUUGAGAUGCCCAGGGAGCAGCCACCCUGGCCAGCCCAGUCCUGCCGCUCCAUCUUCUGAAUGGGACACACUCACUUUCAGAGAUGAAGUUGGUUUCAGGGCUUUUCUGAAUUAUUUAACGGACCCCUUGCCUGCCUUUAGGAGGGUUAGAAAUGCUUUCAUGUGCUUCCAGGGCCGGGCUCUCUGUGGGCCGGCUCGCAGUCACAGUCACCAGGACGUCUCUGGUGUCGAGUGUGGAAGGAGCCCAGGAGACCUGCGUUCAAAGCCUGGUGCUCUCCUUGGCCAGCCCUGCCUUCAGGGGGACACGGUCCCCUCAUCUGUGAAGAGGACCACCAGACCUACUUUGUGGGGUGGGUGAGGCCAGCAGGGGGGCCAUGUGAUUUAAAUACUCAACAAAACGCGGAGUUCCUGUUGUGGUGCAGUGGUUAAUGAAUCUGACUAGGAGCCAUGAGGUUGUGGGUUCGAUUCCUGGCCUUGCUCAGUGGGUUAAGGAUGUGGCGUCGCCGUGAGCUGUGGUGUAGGUCGCAGAUGCGGCUCAGAUCCCACAUUGCUGUGGCUCUGGCGUAAGCCAGUGGCUACAGCUCCGAUUUGACCCCUAGCCUGGGAACCUCCAUAUGCUG